GGGAUGGGUGUGCAGGGCAGGGUCCUGGGACGGAGCUGAACUGUCCUUGGCUCAUGGGGGAGAAGUAGAUACCUGGUUGUGAGCCCUGAAACGGAAGAUGACAGCCACGUGCUUUGACAGCAAGAUUGAAAACUGAGGCCCAUCUGACCUCCUU
rnacentral:lncRNA from 1 species